UACGGAGGGGGCUAGCGUUGUUCGGAAUUACUGGGCGUAAAGCGCACGUAGGCGGCUUUGUAAGUUAGAGGUGAAAGCCCGGGGCUCAACUCCGGAAUUGCCUUUAAGACUGCAUCGCUAGAAUUGUGGAGAGGUAAGUGGAAUUCCGAGUGUAGAGGUGAAAUUCGUAGAUAUUCGGAAGAACACCAGUGGCGAAGGCGGCUCACUGGUCCGGUACUGACGCUGAGGUGGCGAAAGCGUGGGGAGCAAACAGG
rnacentral:rRNA from 1 species